GCUUGGAAUUUAACCUACAGAGGGAUCGGGAACCAUUUAAACCUUUAGACCUGCUAGUGAUGUGAUUCUAAUGGCAUUUCUGCAAAAACGCUGCGGACAAAACGUGAAGGAUGAAUGGAGACAGGGGAAGACAGAAGACAGGAAAAUCGUGAAGGAGGCGUGAGUCUGGGUGAGCUGCCAAAAUUAGCGCAGGCUUUGCAUUUAAAAUGUUUUUCACGUGUCUGUCAUAGUCUUGUAAUGGCCACGAUGUACAAGCCGAGGAGGGCAACAGGAAGUAAAGGAAAAGUCAGCAGGAUAAAUGACGCACAA
rnacentral:lncRNA from 1 species